AGUGGAGAAAGAAAAGGCACAAGCAGUUGAGCAACAGGCCAAGAAAUGAUUAAAGCAGCAGAAGCUGACAGUGAUUGCAACUUCCACCACUUCCUCAACCAACAGUGCAACCAGUACCAUCUCUCCAGCACAGAAGGUUAUGGUGGCCCCCAUAAGUGGCUCAGUUACAACUGGAACCAAAAUGGUACUAACUACUAAAGUUGGAUCUCCAGCUACAGUAGCAUUCCAACAAAAUGAGAACUUUCAUCAAACCUUUGCUAUGUGUGUUAAGCAAGGCCAGUCAGAUUCAGGCAUUGUUCAAGUACAUCAGAAAGUCCUGGGUAUCAUUCCACCAAGUAUAGGCACCAGUCAGCAAACCUUUACUUCAUUCCAGCCCAGGACAGCAACAGUCACAGGCAGGCCCAAUACCUCAGGCUCUGGAGGAACCACAAGCAAUUCACAA
rnacentral:lncRNA from 1 species